GGUGAAUGCUGGCGGCGUGGAUGAGGCAUGCAAGUCGAAUGCAUUUAGUUGCAUGGCAGACGAGGUAGUAACGUGUAGGUACGUACCAAAGAGUCAGGGAUAACCCGGCGAAAGUCGGAAUAAUACUUGAUGGUCCCUUCGGGGUAAAGAUUUAUCGCUCUUUGAACGGCCUGCAUCCUAUCAGCUUGAUGGUAAGGUAACGGCUUACCAUGGCUACGACGGGUAGGGGAGGUGAGAGCCUGACCCCCACCGAUGGAACUGAGACACGGUCCAUACUCCUACGGGAGGCCGCAGUCGAGAAUCUUCCGCAAUGGACGAAAGUCUGACGGAGCGACGCCGCGUGGUGGAUGAAGCCCUUAGGGGCGUAAACACCUUUUAUGAGUGAAGAAGUUUAUUGACAUUAGCUCAUGAAUAAGGGGCUCCCAAUUCUG
rnacentral:rRNA from 1 species